rnacentral:rRNA from 1 species
UACGGAGGUGGCAAGCGUUGUUCGGAAUUACUGGGCGUAAAGGGCUCGUAGGCGGCCAACUAAGUCAGACGUGAAAUCCCUCGGCUUAACCGGGGAACUGCGUCUGAUACUGGAUGGCUUGAGUUUGGGAGAGGGAUGCGGAAUUCCAGGUGUAGCGGUGAAAUGCGUAGAUAUCUGGAGGAACACCGGUGGCGAAGGCGGCAUCCUGGACCAAUACUGACACUGAGGAGCGAAAGCCAGGGGAGCAAACGGG